rnacentral:rRNA from 1 species
CCUACGGGUGGCAGCAGUGGGGAAUAUUGGGCAAUGGGCGCAAGCCUGACCCAGCAACGCCGCGUGAAGGAAGAAGGCUUUCGGGUUGUAAACUUCCUUUAUUGAGGACGAAACAAAUGACGGUACUCAAUGAAUAAGCCACGGCUAACUACGUGCCAGCAGCCGCGGUAAUACGUAGGUGGCAAGCGUUAUCCGGAUUUACUGGGUGUAAAGGGCGUGUAGGCGGGACUGCAAGUCAGAUGUGAAAACCAUGGGCUCAACCCAUGGCCUGCAUUUGAAACUGUAGUUCUUGAGUGAGGGAGAGGCAGGCGGAAUUCCGUGUGUAGCGGUGAAAUGCGUAGAUAUACGGAGGAACACCAGUGGCGAAGGCGGCCUGCUGGACAGUAACUGACGCUGAGGCGCGAAAGCGUGGGGAGCAAACAGGAUUAGAUACCCCAGUAGUC